AAGCCACACUCAGGAUAUCUGUGAAUCACUUCUCUCUUGGGUGAAAUUCAAUAAAACAGAAAAUAGCAGAAAAGAAUGGUUUAAAUUCAAAAGCAGCUGUACAAGAUCUUAAGAGGAAGGAAGCAACUGAGAAACUUUGUGAUGGUUGGCUGCUCUUCAGUUUCAAGAGUGAUCCUCAGUUCUUCCUGACUCCAGCGAGGGGACCCUCCCAAGGGAAAUGACUCUCCAUGAACCUCUCCAAUGUCUCCAGCCUUGAAGAGAUGAUUCAUUACAGUCCUUUACUGAUAAAUAGAAAAUUUAAAAAAAAAAAAAAAAUCAAAACCACCCAAAGAAAAAGGACCACUUUAAAAUAAAUGCAAAGAGCAAUAGAGUGAGACAGACAAAUACCCCAGAACAAAGAGCCCACCAUUCUGAUGUAAAAACCUCCUGUUCUCUUAUUAAUAUAGAUUCUUUGGCCAUAUGUAUAUAAUAUACCUGGCUUAUGAUAACUCAGUAAGUAGCUAAGCCUAAGUAUAUAGAUCUGGUUGUUUUUCUACCUUAAUUUGGUUGGUUUUAAAUUUUUAUUUUAUUUUAAAUACUGGAAAAGAAGUAGAUAUUGUCUGUUUUGACGCUCAAAUACUGUUCUGAACUUGGGAAAAACUUGGGAUUAAUGCAAGUAAGAACCAACUCCUGUCUUCCUGAUCAAAUACAUGUGAACAAAUUAAUUAUAUAGUUCCAGACACUUUUAUUCAUAUUUUAUUUGUCAGCU